CGUACACUCCUGCGGGAGGCAGCAGUGGGGAAUAUUGGACAAUGGGCGCAAGCCUGAUCCAGCCAUGCCGCGUGAGUGAUGAAGGCCCUAGGGUUGUAAAGCUCUUUCACCGGUGAAGAUAAUGACGGUAACCGGAGAAGAAGCCCCGGCUAACUUCGUGCCAGCAGCCGCGGUAAUACGAAGGGGGCUAGCGUUGUUCGGAUUUACUGGGCGUAAAGCGCACGUAGGCGGACUAUUAAGUCAGGGGUGAAAUCCCGGGGCUCAACCCCGGAACUGCCUUUGAUACUGGUAGUCUUGAGUUCGAGAGAGGUGAGUGGAAUUCCGAGUGUAGAGGUGAAAUUCGUAGAUAUUCGGAGGAACACCAGUGGCGAAGGCGGCUCACUGGCUCGAUACUGACGCUGAGGUGCGAAAGCGUGGGGAGCAAACAGGAUUAGAUAUCCGUGUAGUCCC
rnacentral:rRNA from 1 species